UCCGAAGGGGGCUAUCGUUGCUCGGAAUCACUGGGCGUAAAGCGCACGUAGGCGGAUCUUUAAGUCAGGGGUGAAAUCCCAAGGCUCAACCUUGGAACUGCCUUUGAUACUGGGGAUCUCGAGUCCGGAAGAGGUUGGUGGAACUCCGAGUGUAGAGGUGAAAUUCGUAGAUAUUCGGAAGAACACCAGUGGCGAAGGCGGCCAACUGGUCCGGUACUGACGCUGAGGUGCGAAAGCGUGGGGAGAAAACAGG
rnacentral:rRNA from 1 species